rnacentral:rRNA from 1 species
UACGUAGGGUGCGAGCGUUGUCCGGAAUUAUUGGGCGUAAAGAGCUCGUAGGCGGCUUGUUGCGUCGGUUGUGAAAGCCCGGGGCUUAACCCCGGGUCUGCAGUCGAUACGGGCAGGCUAGAGUUCGGUAGGGGAGACUGGAAUUCCUGGUGUAGCGGUGAAAUGCGCAGAUAUCAGGAGGAACACCGAUGGCGAAGGCAGGUCUCUGGGCCGAUACUGACGCUGAGGAGCGAAAGCGUGGGGGAGCGAACAGG